rnacentral:rRNA from 1 species
ACGGAAGGCAGCAGCUAAGAAUAUUCCGCAAUGGACGAAAGUCUGACGGAGCGACGCCGCGUGGAUGAUGAAGGUCGGAAGAUUGUAAAAUCCUUUUAUAACUGAGGAAUAAGCAGUGUGAGAGAAACGCAUUGCGGUGACUGUAGGUUAUGAAUAAGCAACGGCUAAUUACGUGCCAGCAGCCGCGGUAACACGUAAGUUGCGAGCGUUGUUCGGAAUUAUUGGGCGUAAAGGGCAUGUAGGCGGUUUUGCAAGCUUGAUGUGAAAGGCAGGCGCUUAACACCUAGACUGCGUUGCGAAAUGCAUGACUAGCGUCACUGAGGCGCAAUCAAAAUUCCUGGUGUAGGGGUGAAAUCUGUAGAUAUCAGGAAGAAUACCCAUGGCGAAGGCAGGUUACCAGCAGAUGAAUAACGCUGAGGUGAGAAGAUGCGGGGAGCAAACAGGAUUAGAUACCCUGGUA